CCAUCGCGAUGAUUGACCGCGAACCAGGUCAGGACAGGAAUGUAGCAGCCUUAAGUGAAUUAGUCAUGUGCGGUGGUUUCUUA
rnacentral:SRP_RNA from 1 species